CUACCAAAAGUUAAUUCUUGCAGGGGAAGGUUUUUGGUAACCUUUACCAACUUUUGGCUAUUUGGGAGAAUAAAGACCACACUCCACAGUGAGCUUAUACCACUUUAUAUAGUUCACUACUAUUUUGUGGCCUACAUU